ACUGAGAUUGUCAAGAGAUAGCCAAUAUGAGAGGGAGCAGCCUAGCGCAGGCAACAACGAUAUUUUUCAUCGGAUGCCUUGUCGUGUCUGCCCAGUGUGGUCUCGGCGCUAAUCAAAGGGUGGUCAUACGAGAUGACCGUGCGGCGAAUACAAGUACCGACACUACCGCUGUCAACUCGACGUCUGUAGGCGACAGUAUGAUAACUGUCAAAUUUUGCAUCCAGUUUUUGAGAUGCCAUCUUUCAGAUGGGUACCGUGGCACGUGUUACUGCUGCCAGAAAGAUGAGCCACAGUGUUUCACUACGAAGAGUGAAUGCCAGGACAACUGCCCUGACUGCAACCCUAAUUGCCCACCUCCGUCGGGGUCUCUGGGAUAGAAUUUCACAACAACAAAUUGGCCAUCGGCAAUAAAAGGAACCUAAUUUGAUUUGGGCAACUGGCUCCCAACUAAACAUUAGCGGAAAUCCCGCACGUUGCUGUGGAGAUACAGCGAGAUAAUCUGUUGUCUUUGUUGCACUAUUUAGAAAGAUCAAAUGCUUAGGCCAUAAACUGUCUCAUGACUACAAGAACGAUGAAAAUAGUCUCCA